rnacentral:SRP_RNA from 1 species
UGAAAAUGCUACUACAAUAAUAUCUACUGAAUCAGGUCAGAUCGGGAACGAAGCAGCCUUAAGGUGGCUCUAUUAUGUGUAGUAGUUUUUUAUUGCA